GGCCGUGACCGGGCCCCUCUGGCGUCGGCAGCCACGCUGCCCCGCGAUGUCGGAUCACCUCG
rfam:Devosia soli strain GH2-10 NODE_42, whole genome shotgun sequence.